GAAUUCCAAGACAUUAGAUUAAAAAUGUCAUCUACACAUUCCACAUAAGUGUUCACAGGUAUAAUUUUUUUAAAAAAAAAUUAUCAACUCAUAAGCUAAAUAAAUGAAUCCGACCUGACCCAGUAGCCAAAAGGCUCGAUCCUUACACAAACUGAAAAGGUAUAUCCAUCAACAACCUCAUUUAGCUUAAAAUCUCCCCCAAAAAUUGAUGCAUCUAGGGUUUUAUGAAAAAUCAGUCUCGUGUUUUCCUGAAACUGAUGAAGAGGCUACUUGGAUUCUUUGGUGUUUAGGUACUUGACUGGAGAUUCGUCUAUGAGUUCGGCUUGGUGACUCAUCUGUAUUGUGUUAGGCAUGUUGAGGUCAACAAGAUGAAGAGAUUUAGGUCUGAAGAGAUGAAAAAACUACUUUGGUGGACUGCUUGGAGUACUUAUGAAGAAGAUUUCAAGGACCAGAUGAGUGCACUUGGUGCAUUAUCAGAAUUAGCUACUAAAGACUUGUUAAUAUUUGAACCUGUGAAGUGGUGCAGGGCAUAUAUGGACACUGUUUGCAAAAAUUAAAUGGUGAAAAAUAAAUUUACAGAGUCCUUUAACUCUUGGGUAUUGAAACCAAGGUGCAAGCCAAUAUUGAAGAUGCUUAAAGAUAUAAGAGUUAAGAUAAUGAAUAGGUUGAAAAAGAAGGAAAUUGAGGGAAGCAACUGGAAGGAUGAUAUCAGUCCUAAGUUCAUGAAAUUGUUCGCUGCUCAUAAGAAGAUAGCUCAGUUUUGCACUAUGAUUUCAAUGAUGAUAGUGGCUAUGAAGUGACUGAAGGUGAAGAUAGGCACAUAGUGGAUUUGGUGGAGAAGAAAUGUCCUUGUAGAUCUUGGCAGAUGACUGGAAUUCCUUGUCCUCAUUCCAUCAAAGGUAUAGAGCAUAACAAAAUGAAACCUGAUCUAAUGAAGAAAGAAAUAAGUAUGUGGUAUAGCAAGGAAACUUACUUGAAGACAUACAGGGCAAAGUUGCUACCUACAAGAGGUAAAAUCUUCUGGAAAAUUUUGCCAGGACAUGCAAUAGAUCCACCAGAUUUUGUGAAAAAUGGUUUGCAGACCAAGGACCAAAAGAAUAAGAGAAAAAAUAUAGCAAUUAAAAGAGCGGGAUAAUGGGAUCAUUCAAGAGAGGGAACUAGAAUGACAUGCAGUAAGUGUGGUUCAGUAACACAUGAUGCAAGGACAUGCAAGGCAAUAGUUUUAUGCAUAUCUAUAUAAAAGAAUAAAUAUUUAGAUAAGAUGAUUUUAUGCAAUUUAAUUCAGUUUGCUGAAGAAGAACAAAGGGCAUGAUUGAAGAGAAGAAGGGACAUAACUGAAGAAGAAGUUUAAGAAUAGUGCAAAAGGAUGUGUAUGCUAUUAAUUAUUUAGCCCCUCAACCAACACAAGAAGAAGAGGACCAAUCCAUACCCACGCCUGGGCUUCCACAACAACAAUAUGAACCAUUUGGUCCUAUCAGAGAGCCUAAAAGUCAUCCAUCUUUGAGUCUUCAAACAAUUCUUGAAGACAUUACAAAACUGUUGGUAAGACAAAUAUUUAGAAUUUUAUCCUUUUUUGGUAGCAGGCUGAUAGGUUUUAGAGGUGAUCUUGCUAGAUUAAGUGAGCCUCAGAUAUGCCUUAUUUACCUACUAAGCUUACGUGGAAAGGAAAAAAAAGCUAUCACUAGUAAUCAGUUGGAAAAUGCAAGAGAGAAAAAGUUGGGAAAAUCGAAGGCUACAAAGCUAAUAGGAAAUUCCAAAUUUAAUAUGUUAUGACUAGUGCUAAGCUUUGAAUGUUUUAAAUUUGUUUUUGGUUAAAGUUAAUGUAUUUAUUUUGGAAGAAUUUGAUAGAUAUAAAAUAAUGAAUGCUUUUAUUUUGGCUUGAAUUUGGUGAAGAAUUAUUGUGUUGGUGAC